CCUAGAGUGGAGCAGUUAAAGAACGGCCCAUGUUCUUGGAUAGACAAGACGACUGCGAUUCUGUGAUUUACUGAUGCGCACACAGCUUUUACAGAGACGUGCAUCACAUCUAUGGACCCCAUCCAUGGACCUCAGAGCGCUUUCACACUACCGUCCAACCCAGACCAUAACUACAGUGUAUAAGUAACCAGGCCAGCGCUGAACAGCUCGGCACGACUCGGCUCAGUAAGGGUGGAAAAUUUCAGGCUGAUCCCUUGGGUUCCUCUGAUAUCAUUCAGAGAUUCUUUGAGAGAUCCCCAGAUGUUCUCGGUGAUUGGGAAGACUCUCUACAUUACACGCUCCGCACGAAUCACAAGCCUCCAGCCUCCCCAAGCCCAUCCAGGAUCUCCAUCCAGGAUCUCCUCCCCAAGCCCAUCCAGGAUCUCCUGUCCUGUCUCUCCUGUUCAAUCUACACAUCUGCACAACCAGGGAC